rnacentral:tRNA from 1 species
GGGGACAUAGCUCAGCUGGUAGAGCACCUGCUUUGCAAGCAGGGGGUCAUCGGUUCGAUCCCGUUUGUCUCCACCA